rnacentral:rRNA from 1 species
CAAGAGCGUAUAUUAAAGUUGUUGCAGUUAAAAGCUCGUAGUUGGAUUUCUGGUACAACGCGCCUGGCCCGCUUUUGUGAGUGCCGGUGCGCGUUUGCCAUCCUUCUAGAAAACGUCUCUACUCGGGCAACUGGGCCGGAUUCGCGAUCUAGAUCUUUUACUUUGAGGAAAUUAGAGUGUUUCAAGCAGGCACACGCCUUGAAUACAUUAGCAUGGAAUAAUAAGAUAGGACCUUGGUUCUAUUUUGUUGGUUUCUAGAGCUGAGGUAAUGAUUAAUAGGGAUAGUUGGGGGCAUUCGUAUUUAACUGUCAGAGGUGAAAUUCUUGGAUUUGUUAAAGACGGACUACUGCGAAAACAUUUGCCAAGGAUGUUUUCAUUGAUCAAGAACGAAAGUUAGGGGAUCGAAGAUGAUCAGAUACCGU